CCCAUUUUAACCAAAACCGAAAGUAGCGAAACACUGCAACUUGCAACCCAGCACUGGUUUUAUGUUGCUAGCUUAUCAUUAGCAUACAUUUGAUUUUUAGAUUGGUUGAUGGGUCUUUUGUUGAAGCAGCAUAUGGAAAACGUAAACGUGGGUGGGGUACAUGUCAAAAAUUGUCAAAGGCUUUGAAAGUUUGUUAUUGUUAACUAAAACUGAGACAUCAAUGACAGCAAUGUAAAUGAUGUAAUCAUCUUUAAUUUUUAGGAAAUCAGCAAUAUUUCAAACAGCCACUACAUAGACACACAGCAGGACCUUUUUGACAGCCCAGCCAAGUCGAACACCUGCUUCAGCCAGCAGUCCACCCAGCCACCCAGUGACCCCAGCUCUUCAGACUCUAGCUGUCCACCCAGUCCUGUUUUUGGGAAGAGGCUACGACUUUUGCAGCCACAGAUUGUGAUGACAGGAUUUCCUGGGUCAGGUUCAAUUUAAAAUAUGACAGUGAUCGGGCGAUAUAUAGCUACGAGCUAAUGGUGGACUACAAGAACAGGACCUUAGGUUUCUUUUAUAGACAACAGUUCCCGGAUUUCCUGCCUGAUGAUCCUGCUGUAUGUUUUAUGUGAGCAUAAUGGAAGUAAACUGUGAAGUAAACUGUUGGAAUGUUUUAGUUCAUCUUGUUUUAUUUGAUAGUAUUGUUGGAAAAAUUAAAUAAGUCAUUAAUGAUUGCUAAAAAAAUUUGAAUCCGCAAAAUGUAUAUAACAGAACGGUAGUGUAUAAGACAGCACAAU